CGGACCCACGGCACACUAAAACAUGUCCUCACUCUAUUCUCUCAUUACUCUCACACUGGGAAACACUGCCGCCCAGCUUUCUCAUGCAGAGCCUACAUUGAUGCAGUUUCUUCAUUCGACUGGCUUUUGACUUACCCACCCAGACUAACCUCAGUUAACCUAGCCAUGCGAGAAAAGAACAGAAAUAACAUAAUAAAAAUGAGGACAAAAUAAAGCCACUGUCUGAAAGCAUGAUAAGUGAUCAAAAAACAUUCUUGUGUCCCUGAAAAAGGAUGUGCAGCAAUCCCAGCAGCCCCCGCUCUUUGACAUUUCACCGUGAUUGACGUCAUUAGUGAAAAGGGUGUAGCUUGGGUAAAGAUCUGGGCUGGUAACCAAAAGAUCAAAGGUUUUCUUGCUGAAAUCACUUUGGAUAAAAGCGUCGGCUAAAUGACAGAUGAGUAAUUUGCUGUGUCUUUUUGCUUGUUAGAAUUUUUGGGUUUAUUUUUUUAAUUUUUUUAUUGGCUUAUUGACUUUGGUGUCUAUGGGCAAUUAAAGGACUAGAUUGAAGGGUCUUGCCCAGUCAAAUAACUAUAUAAUAUUAGAUAAGGGGAAUAGUAGAAUACUAACUUGUACCAUAACUGGAUCAGAAAGCAGAAGGCCUGAUGGUGAACCCUAAGAAGCUGCCAUGUUAGAGCUGCUGCAGGCCCCGGUUCUGUGGGAAUAGCAAAAUGAACGCCAUUACACCUGACAGCAUAUUCAGUUCCUCAGACAUCAUUGUGACAGACCUGGUCCCAUGAUCGGCCUAAUAAUUAAAGCUAUCCUGCAACCGGCGCCGUACUGCUGUGCUGCAUGCGCAUCAGGGGCCCAUGACAUGAUACAGAGGGACAGCUUAACUAUUAAAUAUCCAUCACGCCACGCCACAUCAGUCCUAAUGCAAUCAGAAACACAUGACUACAUCGCCCGGGCCCCCACUUCAAUCCACAAUGAUUAAAUGACAGUUCGAUUUGAUUGGGAAGAGGGGGGAUCUACUGUAGCUGCGCAGACUUAUUCGAGGCUUUGUGUACUUCAGAGAGAACGCACGUGGGCUGUGGUCUUUUUGCUGUAUUAUCAUUUUAAUGAAGCAGGGUAUUUCUUUUGUGGUCGGGAGGCUCUAAUGCAGUUGUCCAAGACUCCCCUUUCAUCUGUCUUCUUCAAAUGCUCGAGGUUGUUAAACAAAUGGAUGUGUCUGAGUAUAUAACGCUGAUGUGGCCAGGCUGUUGUUGACUGGGCCAAUUAGGGCUCAGAGAGAAAAGAAUAAGGCAUGUCUG
ensembl:lncRNA